CACAGGUGAGAUACUAAGGAACGAGAAAUGCCUAAAAGCAGUGGAAACAAUGCCAAAAUAUCCAAGGGGUCACCUUGGACAACAGAUCCCUUGCAGCAAAAGAAUUAGGAAAGAAGGAAAACAGAGUGAUACUGGCAUGUGUCAUGUUCUGAUCUUACUGAGAAGGAAACAUGUUUUGAAAUCCUAUGCCGGUGCUGUGGCAGAAAUACAGAUGUGGUGAUUCAUACCGUCUAGAGAAUCCUUUGCCUCUAAGGGUUGCAGUGGCUGCUCAACCUCGGUCUUGUUCAAAUCACCUUUAGCAUUGCCUUUUUCAAUGCUUAAAGCUUUUGUAAUGUCAGCAGCAAGCACAGCUGUGAAAAGAAAGCAUGGAGACAAGGAAACAAGGUGUUAGAGCUUAGCUGUGAUUGAUGAUAAAAGGCAACAGUAACAACAAAUCAGAUAACCUGACAUAAGUUUAUUCUGGAAGCCAACCAUCAAGCAAAUAAAGGCAAAUCAGGAAUACCCAAGGAGACUGGGACACCUUCUGGAGACUCCAGGUACCUGCUUCAAGACAUACCACAAGGUACAGAAAGGCUUGUUCCAUAUCAGAUAUCCAGUUUUAUCAUGAAAAAAGAUCUAAGGAUAAAAGAAUUUUUUUUUUUUUUUUCAAAAAAGAAAUUUGUCAC